UUAGCUAUUGUUGUGUGCCUCUCAUAAACAUUCUUCUCCACAGGUUAGUUUUCUUAGAUUCUGAUUCCUUACAUGUGCUGUACUGAGACAUCCUUCUUCCACAAGACACAGCACACUCAAGCUUAUUUAGCGGUCAGAACCAGUGCCCGAGAGCUUCUGAAUCAUCCAUCAGGAAAGCUUUGAACCACGCAAGGAACAGCAAGUGCCUGGGAACCAGGACUUCCAAAAAAGAGGUCAGUCAUCAAUUGUUACCACUGAAGAGGUGACACUAAUGAAGUAAUGAAGCUGAAUCCACAAAAGAAAAAACAGGCACCAUGUUCUGGACUCCAACUAGCACAGCUCCCAACAAGCUGAGCCAGAGCUGGCUAAAUGGGUGAAAUUCUGAAAACUCCACCUGGUCCAUGAAUCCUAAGUCCUCACACAGCUCAGAAUAAUGAGGUUCUACAUCAAUAGCAGCGCCAGGAAUGAGGGGAUUGCAGCACAACCCCACAGGUAUCUGCUGCUGCAAAUCUUCAACUGCACUGAUGGUAGCAGGAGGACAGAUGGCAGAGACUCAUUCACUCAUUGGUCACUGUUUGUCUGUUAGGAUUCACACAUCCCCACAUUGCUGCCUUUGGGUGCUGACCGCUGUGGGUUAGAGGAAGAGAGGAGAUGGACAGUGGUUAUUACUGUGCUACCUUAGCUAAUUGUGCAUCCCAGGGACAGAACACCUGACAGACACAACUGAAGGGGAGAAACGUUUAACUGAGCUGAUGGCUCUAUUUUUAAUUUUUAAUUUGUUUCCUCUGCAUGCUAAAGCUAGCCGUUCAUUCCCAGGGCUCCAGCUCGGGGCUAUUUGUGGGCCCACCCUAUCUUCCAGAUGAACUGCCGUCUGUGUAUACAGAGGAGAAAAGUGUGAUGGCCACUCAGACCCUGGGGUUCAUGCAUUCCAGAGACUGAACCUGAGAGGUCCUGUGUGUCAGACUUACCAUCCACUGCACCUACCCUUUCCCCCCUUUCUACUCGCAAACUGGAUGCGCUUCUCUAGCUUUCCAUGUUCCCAGAGCCCUUAGCAAACUAAGAUCCUCAGGUCAUUCAGAGAGACAGAGACAGAGAGAAAGGGAGAGGGAGAGAGAGAGAGACCAUACUCAAUACCAAGGACCUAGCAGUGGAUGCACAUAAUCAGCACCAAACAUUGAAUGAAUGAAUGAAUGAAUGAAUGAAUGAAUGAGCCAAUCAGUCAA